UCAGUCAUCACUCGAGAGGUAGUCCAUGUCGACAUACAACAACUUGCAUGAAGAAGCUAUAAACUAGAAUGAUGUUACAUUGAAUUGAAUUGGCCCGAGAAGUAAUAAAGCCUCUCUCUCAAUUCUCAAUUUUCAAUCCCAAGCAAGUUUAAGGGUCUGUUUGGUUCGAGGGAAUAGGACCCUAAAAUCAGAAUCGGAAUGAAUCAUUCCGUUUUUGAAUGUUUGGUCGACCAGAAUGGGAAUGAGUAGGCGGAAUGUGAUUCGCUCAUAUGGGGAAGCCAUUCCCGACCCCCUCCCCCGGAAUGCGAUUCCCAUUCCGCUAUUUAGGUUCCUAAUUUUUUUUUGGACAAAAAUCCCCUCCAAUCUAACCUACGAUUAACUGUUGUUGUGAAAGGGAAGAAUCCCUCCAACCUCCAUACUAGUCGUUGUUGUCGCCACCGUCAACCCCAUCUCUGGUAAGAUCGGCCCCAUCUCCACUUCGGAUCUGCAUUGCUGUGAUUCGUUUUACAGAACUGCCCUAUUCUUGUCUGUUUUAAACCGCUUCCUACUCUAUGUUAUGAUUUUUCAAAGAAAAAUAUAAAGGAAAGGUCUUCAAAAUGGUUUUUGUAGGUCUGUUACAAAUUUGACCGAUGUUUCCUCCAUUUGGAAUGAAUGACUUAAUUGUAACUAUCUUAACAUUCUUAUAAUGUGAAGCUCCUUCUGCAUCUCAUCCUCAUGUAGACAAGGUCCAGCGUGCUUUUGGUUGUUUUUAUGUUGAGGAAGUAAUGUGGAAUCUGAUCUUGUUAUUAUUUCUUUCAGUUUGAUUAUUUUGUUAUUCUUGUAUCUCUUGAUAUAGAAAUUGUUUCUUGUAUCUCUGUCAUCCUGAAAAAUAGAUAGAUAAAUUUGUUUAGACUCUGUACUUAGACCUGGAGCCCCUCAAAUCAGUUUAGAAUCCUCAGAUCUUGUGAUUCCUCUUGCUGAAGGAUCAGCUAGGCUAUUGGCUAACCUUGGGGUCCAGUUGAACAAGCAGUUCAUGUUUGAUACUAAAGUCUGGGCUUCUAGUAUCAUACUUAUAAGAGACCAAGGACCUGGAGUUAUAGAAGCGAACCAGGAAUUUUCCACUUGAUGGUUACCUUCUACAACCAGGUUGCUAUAAUUUGAAGGGUGAAACAGCCUCAAAGAAUCUCCUCCUUGUGGUCCCAAGUAGCUUAAUAAUAUUUGACAUGUUAAAUUCCUUAGAAUAGAACUUUAAGCAAUAUCAAAAGUAUACGGUGAGAAUUUGUUGAGGAGGGUUAGAAGAAUAACCUUUUUGUUUUUCUGUGUCUAUGCCAUUUUUGGCUUCAAUUUCUUUAAUAUUUUCUAUGAUACCCAUUGUUCCUAGAAAUACCUGCGAAAUGAGAGAGAGUAUAUUAAACUUUUCACUUUUGUAACAACUAUGAAUCAUCAACCAAACAAGUGGAGAUACUCAAAUAAAAUUUGUAAACAUAAACAUCAAGAAAAUGACAAAUGCAAGAUAUCAAACAAAAGUUGUUUAUUUGGGUCAGCAGAUAACCAAGGUCCAUGGUGUACAAAAGAUUGAUUCAAAGAAUAUAACUCUAGAUUGACUGUAGAAGCUGCAAAUUUCUUGAAUCAGUAUUUUAUAGGUUGAUUAAAAAAAUAAUAAUAGAAGCAUUGAGGAGCUUGACCACAGGAUAAGUGGAUGAAUAUAUGUUAGACAUGAUAGUGUCUUUGGUUAUAUGGAUAAACGUUAGUCAAAUUUAUUAGAUGCAUUUAGAUGAUUUGUAUAUUAGGCUCAGUUUGGGAAGAUUGCAAUUUGCAAAUUCAAAUAUGUUCAGUACAAAUACAAGGUUUAGAAAUGCCAUAUACAAGGUUCUGCACUAUACAUAUUUGUAUUUGCAUUCUUCUCAAGCUCAGCCUUAACAACAUAGUAAGAAGGAAAAUAAACUAACCUCCAAUAGAUAGUGAAAUACUAAAUGGUUGAUACUCAACUUUGUUAUAAUUACCACUGAAAUACUUCAUAUGACUUUUAUAUUUUAACUACUAACAUAUGCCAAUCUGUCUUUUUGACACAAUCAUAGACAGCUUCUAGUGUCAAAUUGGUAAAUAUCCAAAAACCUCCAGAAACAUCUAAUUUCUUUUGACACAUUCUUGUUUUUAUAUCCCUCUAAAAACAAGAGGAUUGUAGGGCUAGCAAACAUGUCGAUUGUAGGUCACAUAUAAUCUAUUCAGUAACCAGUAGUAUGUAUUGUAGGGCUAGCAAGCUAACAAUCUGAUGGAUUGAACUAUUUCAUUUAGAUGGGUUCUAACAAUGCUUAUUGUGCUGUAGAGUUAUGCCUUAGUGGAGUUUUCAGGACACUAUUUAACCCAACUUUGUCAUUUCCUUCUGUAUAAGGACUCUUUUGGGUUUUUUUCCUCUCUUUUGUAUUCUCACCACCUUUGUUCUUUAAGGUUCAGGGGUUGUACUUACAAUUUUUUUUUUCUCUUUAAUACAAGUUAAUAAAAAAUUAUGGGAUAAUUCUAAUUUGGUUAGUAAGGAAUUGAGGAUUCCCUUGCUUUAGCUUACUUUUGGGUAUUUUAAGGGCACACCAUACACAUCAUUUUAGUUCCUUUAGUUGGUGGUAAAUUGUUCUUAGUGAAAUGACAGAGGGAGUGGACAGAUCUAAACUAGUUUGGGAGCAUCAUGCCUGAGACUUUACACAGGGUUGAAUGUGCUCUUUACCUUUUAGUAGGUUGAAUGAUAGACAAUUUCAUGUCUGAAGUUGAAAUAAGCAUUAGCAAAUAGCUUAAAAACACGACAGGUGGAACAUAUACAUGAUAAAGAGUAAUUAGGAACCAGUGUUAUCCAACAGGAAAAAAAUUCCAGUAGUAAUUCUUAACAACCAUGCCAGGGUUAAGUACAAAGUUAGAAACAGAGUUAUCACUGGAAUGUAAAUAAAAAAUACAGGUCAAAAUUAUUCUUAGCAACCAUGUCAAGUAAAAGAAUGUUCGGAAGCCACAUUGAAUGCUGUCAUUCUAGUCGUUGUUGUCUAGUAUUCUCUGUCAUUUUGGACAGUCUUUUUUUAUUGGGAACUUUGUCUACUAGUGCAGGGGAAUAUGUUGUCAAAAAAUCAAUAGAUGCGUUCGUGGAGGAUAAAAAUGGGGUAUGAUGUCAAUGUUCAGUUUGCUUUAGUUGCUACUUGACUGUCAAUUUGCAUUUUCUUUAUAUUCAACUUCCUAAUUGGCAAUCAAAUUUGCGCUUUCUACAGGAUUCUCCAAACCAGUUCUAGUUUGUGAGAAAUCUUGUAAAGAAACUUGGCUAUGAAGUUUCUCGAAAACUUUCUAAAAAACACCAAUAAAUGUGCGAAGCUCAAGUAUUACCUUCGUAUCCAAUAUUUUGGUUUCUUUUUUUUUUAAUUAAGUUUACCAUAUUGUUAGCGUGACAAUAAAUUUGUAGCUUGUCUAUGGUAUUGGUUAUGCAGUCAAUGGAGAAUGUAGUUGUGGACUGCAAUUAGUUAGUUGAAAUCAGAAAUGGCUACAUAUAGAAGUUGAUUAAUGAAGCUUGAAGCAGAGGUUUUGUCUUUGAACCCAAUUAACAAUGGAGGAAAUUCUUGUGGAUCCUACUAACAAUGCACUAGUUGGACAACAGACAUCAAAGAGAUGGAGACCAAAGAAGCCUAUUGCUACAGUUGAUGGCUUACAUUCUCCCGAUGAGUGCCAACUCCAAUCUCGUGGAAGAAAGCCUACAUAGCUCAAGGUUCAAUGCAACUAUUCAGCAAGAAAAUGAUGGAAGGAUUCCAAAGGUUUUUACGAGUGGCAGCAGCAACUUUGAGCUCAUCGGGGCAAGUGUGAAUCUUCCUGUAGAAGUUCAAGCAAGAUAGGAUCUUGUACAGAAUCAGGCGCCUAUUGAGUUUUUUAUUCCAUUUGAGUUAUGGCUCUAAUACAGAUGUACUUUAGUUUGUAGUUCAAUAUGUAUAUAUGGGGGCAAAUUAUUCAAUAUAUAUCUGUUUUUGAGGUUUA